ACCAAACUUAUAUAGUGUUUGAAUGGUAAAAACAAAAAACAAAACAAAAAAAACCCCUUGAUUAUAAGUUAAAUAAAGACAUACACAGGAAGAAGAAAAUUUCUUUUUUCUUCUUUGUUUUUACAGGAAUUCUGUAAAGGCUCAAGUUGCCCAGCCUAGGCUGGAAAUUGCAAUUCUCCUCUCUCAAUAUUCUACUAAAAGAUGACUUUCAACAUGACAGAGAUGCAGGUCUUCAGAUUCUGGCCACACUUAAAAACAGGACAUUGCACAAGGGAACAAUGGAGUAGGCAUCACAGGAGCUUCUUGCCAUUUCACCUGGCACCAUCUCAUCCAGGUAACCUGGUUUACUCAACAUCUCACAAACACAUUUUCCUCAUUGAAUUAACUCUUGACUCGCUUUGUUUCUUUGCCUUACUCCUUUAACAAUCUGAAAUCCAACUAUCAUUCAAGCUCAAAUUUCAUGUGAAACUUGCCCUGAUUAUGUCUCAUUCCUCUGAACUCCUUCAUGAUUUAUAAUUAUACCAUAUAAUUUAUCCCUUAAUGAUCCCUGUCUUCCCUUAUUAUUCAAACUAUGUCUCUUCUAACACCAUAUGCUUCAUUUCAGAGUCCGUAAGAAACAUCUCAGGCCACAUUCCAGAUCUACUGAACCAGAGCCUGUUUUUAACAAUGGAGUCAGAUGAUUCUUAUGCACAUAGAACUCGGGAAGUACUACUGAACUAUACCAUUCACUAUUGACUCUCUUGUGUAAAUCUCAUAUUGCUGAUUAGACUACGCUCAGAGAAAAGUACCAUUUUCUAUAUUUUUUCUGCUUUUAUACAUAGCUAUACUUUGUAUCUUAAACAUCCCCCAAGGCCCAUGUAUCAGAUGAACUCUUUCUCCCCAGCUUGGAACUACUGGGAGGUGGUGGUAUCAGCUCUUCGGUCCAUGUCCUUAAAGGGAAUUGGGGCAUCCCAAUCUCUUACUCUUUAUUUUUUCAUGUACAAGCUGUGAGAUGAACAACUUUGCUCCCACAUCACAAUGGGCUGACCUCCCACAAAACCAAAAUCAAUGGAGCCAAUUGAUCACUGACUAAAAAUCUCUAAAAUGUAGAGCUAAUACAUACCGUUUCUCUUUGUAAGUUGAUUAGCUCAAAGAUUUGUCCCUGCACAGACAAACUAACACAAACACAUGUACACACAAGAUCAAUGCUAAACCCAGUAGAACAUAAAGCUGCUGGAGGAAAAAAACCACUAUAAACUGACUGAAUUCAAUAACUAAAAUAUACAGACAAACCAAAUUCCACCUCUACUAUUGGCCAGUUGUGUGACUUUGGACAAAUCAUUUAACUUUGCAUUUUCAUUUCUUUGUCUUAAAAAUAAGGAGGCUACUUUGGAGUCUCUACUUUGCAUUCUAUUUCUGUAUAUCUAUUAAUCCAAAAUAAAAUGAAAAUGGAUGUAAUUUGAUAUUGCUUCAUGAAUGAGAAAAUAUUUUGCAAUCU
rnacentral:lncRNA from 1 species